GUGACACAUGUUUAACGGCCGCGGUAUCCUAACCGUGCGAAGGUAGCGUAAUCACUUGUUCUUUAAAUGAGGACUAGUAUGAACGGCACCACGAAGGUUAUACUGUUCCUUUCUCCAAUCAGUAAAACUAAUCUCCCCGUGAAGAAGCGAGGAUAAAUUUAUAAGACGAGAAGACCCUAUGGAGCUUUAAACUAACCAGCAUUUGCUAUAUACAAAUUUUAACUUUAGACAAUCUAGCCCUCUGACUGGUAAUUUUCGAUUGGGGUGAUCACGGAACAAAAAAUAACCUCCGUGUCGAAAGAUAAACCUGAGCAAAAAGCGACAGCUUUCCGCACUAAAAAAUUAAUGACCCAAUAUUUUGAUCAACGAACCAAGUUACCCUAGGGAUAACAGCGCAAUCUACUUCAAGAGUCCCUAUCGACAAGUAGGUUUACGACCUCGAUGUUGGAUCAGGGUACCCCAGUGGUGCAGCCGCUACUAAAGGUUCGUUUGUUCAACGAUUAAUACCCUACGUGAU
rnacentral:rRNA from 1 species